rnacentral:lncRNA from 1 species
ACUUGGAGGGACCUUAAAGCCAGUCUCUGAUGUUAACACAAUUUCCAACUCAAGAUAACUUCAAAGAUGUUACUACUUCCUUCUUAGUAGUAGAUGGACUGCUACUACCAAGACUGGACAGACUCCCUAGCUGCUGCUGUGCCCAAGAACCACUGCUGAUUCAUCUCCUGGUGACUGCACAUAGAGCUGACAGCCAGAAUGAAUGUUUGUCUCGGUGCUGGCACCAGGGGGGCUUUUGCAGAGACUAUUUCACGGUCCAUUGAACCCUAAAGGACAUUGUUUUUAAAGGCAUAUUAUCAGAAUGGAAGAAGCGAGUCAUCAGACAGGCUAUUACAGCACAUAAGCCAGAUGAAAGACCCACAAAGUGAGGACUACCUCACGUUCUGACUCAAAAGAGGCGACACCCCAAAUCACUCACAAGAAAUGGCCUUGAUGCAAAUCGCAAGAGGACCUUUUUAUUCCAGGCAUCACUGAAAUUCUCGGGAGUUCCUAUAGCCAACAGUGCUUCCUACAGCUGAACUUCAGGAGACUGAGGACCCUGCCAUACCCUGCCAGCUGACGCCAAGCUGUGUUCCUACCAUGGAGGGCCUGGAGACACACUGAGAGGGUGACAAUUGAUCACCAAGCUAUGCUCAUGAUAGCCAACAAGGUUACCAAGGAAAAUCUACAACAGCCUGUCUGAAAAAAAAAAUAAGUAUAAAGAAAUCAAAUGCAGAAAGUAUUCUCCACCACUUAUAAAAAGCAACUUCCUAACAUCCUAAGAUAACUUAAUAAAAUCCCAGUGUCAGGUCUGGGC